rnacentral:rRNA from 1 species
CAAUAGCGUAUAUUAAAGUUGUUGCGGUAAAAAAGCUCGUAGUUGGAUUUCUACCGAAGAUAGCCGGUCGGGUCUUCGACCUUGUAUCUGGUUUUGUCUUUGGUAUCCUCAUAGGGAACGUUUCUGCGCUUUAUUGCGUGGUGCGGUAUCUAUGACUUUUACUUUGAGGAAAUUAGAGUGUUCACGGCAGGCAAGCGCCUUGAAUAUAUUAGCAUGGAAUAAUAACAUAGGAUCUUCGUCCUAUUUUGUUGGUUUCUAGGGCUAAGAUAAUGAUUAAUAGGGAUAAUUGGGGGCAUCUGUAUCAACGCGUCAGAGGUGGAAUUCUUGGAUUGCGUUGCGACAAACUACUGCGAAAGCAUUUGCCAAGGAUGUUUUCAUUGA